UAGGUGAACCUGCGGAAGGAUCAUUAAAAAAGAUCGUACCCAGCAAUGGGUAUUCUUAAACCACUGUGAAACUACCCGUUGCUUCGGCGGCAUCCUCCAGGGGAGUCAGCCCGUCAGAAGCCCAACACAACCAUUUCUGUAAACUGCAGUCAGAAUUAUCAAGUUAAAUCGUUAAAACUUUCAACAACGGAUCUCUUGGUUCUCGCAUCGAUGAAGAACGCAGCGAAACGCGAUAGGUAAUGUGAAUUGCAGAAUUCAGUGAAUCAUCGAAUCUUUGAACGCACAUUGCGCCUCUUGGUAUUCCGAGGGGCAUGUCUGUUUGAGCGUCAGUACCAACUCCAUACUUCUCUUUUGACGAAUGGGUGUUGAGAAAYGUCGGCAACGGCUUUCUCUAAUGUUGCACGCUUGCGGACUCAUGAUCUGACCGGACGUAGUAAACUUUUCUCGUUCUCGACGUGAUUGGGUUCUGCCUGAAACCUCAAACUUUUGCAGUUUGACCUCAGAUCAGACAAGGAUACCCGCUGAACUUAA
rnacentral:rRNA from 1 species